rnacentral:rRNA from 1 species
UACGGAGGUCCCAAGCGUUGUUCGGAUUCAUUGGGCGUAAAGGGUGCGUAGGUGGCGCCGUAAGUGGGGUGUGAAAUUUCGGAGCUUAACUCCGAAACUGCAUUCCAUACUGCGGUGCUUGAGGACUGGAGAGGAGACUGGAAUUCAUGGUGUAGCAGUGAAAUGCGUAGAGAUCAUGAGGAAGACCAGUGGCGAAGGCGGGUCUCUGGACAGUUCCUGACACUGAGGCACGAAGGCCAGGGGAGCGAACGGG